rfam:Pseudomonas putida S11 PPS11_c304, whole genome shotgun sequence.
ACGAACCGAGUUUGAUCGUGGCUCAGGACGAACGCUGGCGGCGUGCUUAACACAUGCAAGUCGAACGGAAAGGCCUGCAGCUUGCUGCGGGUACUCGAGUGGCGAACGGGUGAGUAACACGUGGGUGAUCUGCCUUGCACUUCGGGAUAAGCUUGGGAAACUGGGUCUAAUACCGGAUAGGACAGCUGUUUAGUGUCAUGUUGUGGAAAGUUUUUUCGGUGCAAGAUGAGCUCGCGGCCUAUCAGCUUGUUGGUGGGGUAAUGGCCUACCAAGGCGACGACCGGUAGCCGGUCUGAGAGGAUGAACGGCCACAUUGGGACUGAGACACGGUUCCAGACUCCUACGGGAGGCAGCAGUGGGGAAUAUUGGACAAUGGGCGAAAGCCUGAUCCAGCCAUGCCGCGUGUGUGAAGAAGGUCUUCGGAUUGUAAAGCACUUUAAGUUGGGAGGAAGGGCAGUAAGUUAAUACCUUGCUGUUUUGACGUUACCGACAGAAUAAGCACCGGCUAACUCUGUGCCAGCAGCCGCGGUAAUACAGAGGGUGCAAGCGUUAAUCGGAAUUACUGGGCGUAAAGCGCGCGUAGGUGGUUCGUUAAGUUGGAUGUGAAAGCCCCGGGCGUCAACCUGGGAACUGCAUCCAAAACUGGCGAGCUAGAGUACGGUAGAGGGUGGUGGAAUUUCCUGUGUAGCGGUGAAAUGCGUAGAUAUAGGAAGGAACACCAGUGGCGAAGGCGACCACCUGGACUGAUACUGACACUGAGGUGCGAAAGCGUGGGGAGCAAACAGGAUUAGAUACCCUGGUAGUCCACGCCGUAAACGAUGUCAACUAGCCGUUGGAAUCCUUGAGAUUUUAGUGGCGCAGCUAACGCAUUAAGUUGACCGCCUGGGGAGUACGGCCGCAAGGUUAAACUCAAAUGAAUUGACGGGGGCCCGCACAAGCGGU